rnacentral:rRNA from 1 species
UACACUCCUGCGGGAGGCAGCAGUGGGGAAUUUUGGACAAUGGGCGAAAGCCUGAUCCAGCAAUGCCGCGUGAGUGAAGAAGGCCUUCGGGUUGUAAAGCUCUUUUGUCAGGGAAGAAACGGUGAAAGCUAAUAUCUUUUGCUAAUGACGGUACCUGAAGAAUAAGCACCGGCUAACUACGUGCCAGCAGCCGCGGUAAUACGUAGGGUGCAAGCGUUAAUCGGAAUUACUGGGCGUAAAGCGUGCGCAGGCGGUUUUGUAAGUCUGAUGUGAAAUCCCCGGGCUCAACCUGGGAAUUGCAUUGGGGACUGCAAGGCUAGAAUCUUGCAGAGGGGGGUAGAAUUCCACGUGUAGCAGUGAAAUGCGUAGAUAUGUGGAGGAACACCGAUGGCGAAGGCAGCCCCCUGGGUCAAGAUUGACGCUCAUGCACGAAAGCGUGGGGAGCAAACAGGAUUAGAAACCCUAGUAGUCCCAU